GACCCAGUGGUGUACUGGUAACACACCUGCUUUCAAUUGAAUGGCAUGCAUUUCCAAUGGGCAGCAGGAGUUGCUCGUUCGAUUCGGGCCUGGGUCG